rnacentral:snRNA from 1 species
ACUCAUACCUUGCAGGAGAAAUACCAUGUCAUAAAAGUGGUUUUCCCAGGGGGAGGCUCAUCCAUUGCACUUUGGGGGUGCUGCUGAUCCCUAUGAUUUCCCUAAACGUGGGCAACUCAAUUGCAUAAUUUGUGUUAAUGGGGGGAAUGCCCUUA